CCUGGAAUAACACAUAACAACGACACAUUAGGAACACUCGUUAGUCUUGAAUAACACAUAACCACGGUACAUAAGGAGCACUCGUCAGUCUAUGGGAUAACACAUAACCACGGUACAUAAGGAACACUCGUCAGUCUAUGGAAUAACACAUAACCACGGUACAUAAGGAACACUCGUCAGUCUAUGGAAUAACACAUAACCACGGUACAUAAGUAACACUCGUCAGUCUAUGGAAUAACACAACCACGGUACAUAAGGAACACUCGUCAGUCUGGAAUAACACAUAACCACGGUACAUAAGGAAAACUCGUCAGUCAAUGGAAUAACACAUAACCACGGUACAUAAGGAACACUCGUCAGUCUAUGGAAUAACACAUAACCACGGUACAUAAGGAACACUCUUCAGUCUAUGGAAUAACACAUAACCACGGUACAUAAGGAGCACUCGUCAGUCUAUGGAAUAACACAUAACCACGGUACAUAAGGAACACUCGUCAGUCUGGAAUAACACAUAACCACGGUACAUAAGGAACACUCGUCAGUCUAUGGAAUAACACAUAACCACGGUACAUAAGGAACACUCUUCAGUCUAUGGAAUAACACAUAACCACGGUACAUAAGGAGCACUCGUCAGUCUAUGGAAUAACACAUAACCACGGUACAUAAGGAACACUCGUCAGUCUGGAAUAACACAACCACGGUACGUAAGGAACACUCGUCAGUCUAUGGAAUAACACAUAACCACGGUACAUAAGGAGCACUCGUCAGUCUAUGGAAUAACACAUAACCACGGUACAUAAGUAACACUCGUCAGUCUAUGGAAUAACACAUAACCACGGUACAUAAGGAACACUCGUCAGUCUAUGGAAUAACACAUAACCACGGUACAUAAGGAACACUCGUCAGUCUGGAAUAACACAUAACCACGGUACAUAAGGAACACUCGUCAGUCUAUGGAAUAACACAUAACCACGGUACAUAAGGAACACUCGUCAGUCUAUGGAAUAACACAUAACCACGGUACAUAAGGAGCACUCGUCAGUCUAUGGAAUAACACAUAACCACGGUACAUAAGGAACACUCGUCAGUCUAUGGGAUAACACAUAACCACGGUACAUAAGGAACACUCGUCAGUCUGGAAUAACACAUAACCACGGUACAUAAGGAGCACUCGUCAGUCUAUGGAAUAACACAUAACCACGGUACAUAAGGAACACUCGUCAGUCUAUGGGAUAACACAUAACCACGGUACAUAAGGAACACUCGUCAGUCUAUGGAAUAACACAUAACCACGGUACAUAAGGAACACUCGUCAGUCUAUGGAAUAACACAUAACCACGGUACAUAAGGAACACUCGUCAGUCUGGAAUAACACAUAACCACGGUACAUAAGGAACACUCGUCAGUCUAUGGAAUAACACAUAACCACGGUACAUAAGGAACACUCGUCAUUCUAUGGAAUAACACAACCACGGUACAUAAGGCACACUCGUCAGUCUAUGGGAUAACACAUAACCACGACACAUUGGCAACAAAGAUAAAAAUUGUUCUUACUUUCUCUCCCCAGCUAGGUCCCCAGCUGAAAAACAAAGCAAAUAAACCAUGUUAACAUUAUGAUGUAGACUACUUGAAACAUCAACGACAACAAAAUGUGCAUUGGUCAUCUAAUCUCACCUGUUUUUGAUGAUCCAGUAGGGAGUGCCGUUUUCUGUGGAGGAAAUAGAGGUGUUGAAAAAAGAGCAUGGUCAGAUCAAGAGCUAAUUGAGCCAUCAGCUCAAGGAAGAAGGUUCAUUACAUGGCUGAAGGAGAACGUUGGUGAUCUUUCUGGCUUCUCUCUACAAAGCUCUGCACUCAGUGGAUGUCAAAUAACGAAUGACAGCUUGCCUAAGGUAAGUCCCUUUUAUCAGGGUUCAAAAUAACUUUUUUAAAUCUGCUAGAUUUUGCUGGCUUUUUGAAUUUUGGUGG